rnacentral:rRNA from 1 species
GACGAACGCUGGCGGCGUGCUUAACACAUGCAAGUCGAACGGAAAGGCCCUGCUUUUGUGGGGUGCUCGAGUGGCGAACGGGUGAGUAACACGUGAGUAACCUGCCCUUGACUUUGGGAUAACUUCUGGAAACUGGGGCUAAUACCGGAUAGGAGCUCCUGCUGCAUGGUGGGGGUUGGAAAGAUUCGGCGGUUGGGGAUGGACUCGCGGCUUAUCAGCUUGUUGGUGGGGUAGUGGCUUACCAAGGCUUUGACGGGUAGCCGGCCUGAGAGGGUGACCGGCGACAUUGGGACUGAGAUACGGCCCAGACUCCUACGGGAGGCAGCAGUGGGGAAUAUUGCAGAAUGGGCGGAAGCGUGAUGCAGCAACGCCGCGUGCGGGAUGACGGCCUUCGGGUUGUAAACCGCUUUCGCCUGUGACGAAGCGUGAGUGACGGUAAUGGGUAAAGAAGCAACGGCUAACUACGUG